CUGUUAGGUGCAUGUCUUUCCACACAUGCCUUGAGAUUUCCAGAGGUUCCUACUUUAAACCAGGUUUACCGUGAAGAAACUGGG